UCCGUAGGUGAACCUGCGGAAGGAUCAUUACAGAAAGUAAACGCGGAUCAAACCGCGAACUUCUAAACCUUUGACGAUUGACUCAUGUUGCCUCGGCGGGUUCUCCCGCCAGAGGAUACGUCAAAACUCCUGUUUUAACGGUGUUGUCUGAGCUACAAGCAACGAAUCAAAACUUUCAACAACGGAUCUCUUGGUUCUGGCAUCGAUGAAGAACGCAGCGAAAUGCGAUAAGUAGUGUGAAUUGCAGAAUUCAGUGAAUCAUCGAAUCUUUGAACGCACAUUGCGCCCCUUGGAAUCCCGAGGGGCAUGCCUGUUCGAGCGUCAUUUUACCACUCAAGCCUGGCUUGGUGUUGGGCGACGUCCCCUUUGGGGACGCGCCUCGAAACGCUCGGCGGCGUGGCACCGGCUUUAAGCGUAGCAGAAUCUUUCGCUUCAAAAGUCGGGGCCCCGUCUGCCGGAAGACCUACUCGCAAGGUUGACCUCGGAUCAGGCAGGGAUACCCGCUGAACUUAAGCAUAUCAAUAAGCGGAGGA
rnacentral:rRNA from 1 species